rnacentral:lncRNA from 1 species
GCAAGACGUCCCCGAGCCACUUCGGACGUACUGGGAGUACCGGGACGAGAUACACGAACAGGACGGCCUCGUAUUCCGGAGUAACAAGUCCCCUGUGCAGAGGCUGAUGGGACGCCAGACUAGAACUCUGCUACCGGUGCCUACCAGCCAUUUGGAACCGAGGACCAUCCCACCGAAAGUGGUGCAGGGCCGCCUUCAAGAAAUACGGCAACGACAGAGGACCUACUACAACCGCGGUAGCAGACCACUACCGCCUGU